UUUUUAAAACCUGGGCCCUCCUCU
rnacentral:piRNA from 1 species